rnacentral:rRNA from 1 species
UAUGGUAAUUGUGUCCGCCGCGGUAAUACGGAGGAUGCGAGCGUUAUCCGGAUUUAUUGGGUUUAAAGGGAGCGCAGACGGGUCGUUAAGUCAGCUGUGAAAGUUUGGGGCUCAACCUUAAAAUUGCAGUUGAUACUGGCGUCCUUGAGUGCGGUUGAGGUGUGCGGAAUUCGUGGUGUAGCGGUGAAAUGCUUAGAUAUCACGAAGAACUCCGAUUGCGAAGGCAGCACACUAAUCCGUAACUGACGUUCAUGCUCGAAAGUGUGGGUAUCAAACAGG